rnacentral:rRNA from 1 species
GGGUUGUGAGGUUAAGCGAAUAAGCGUACACGGUGGAUGCCUAGGCAAUCAGAGGCGAUGAAGGACGUGCUAAUCUGCGAAAAGCGUCGGUAAGGUGAUAUGAACCGUUAUACCCGACGAUAUCCGAAUGGGGAAACCCAGUAUCCAAUGGAUACUAUCAUUAACUGAAUCCAUAGGUUAAUGAGGCGAACCGGGAGAACUGAAACAUCUCAGUACCCCGAGGAAAAGAAAUCAACCGAGAUUCCCCUAGUAGCGGCGAGCGAACGGGGAGCAGCCCAGAGUCUUAAUCAAUAGCAGUGUCAGGAGAACGGUCUGGAAAGUCCGGCAGUAAAGGGUGAUAGCCCCGUAUCUGAAGAUGCUGUUAUUGUGAACUCGACGAGUAGGGCGGGACACGUGUUAUCCUGUCUGAAUAUGGGGGGACCAUCCUCCAAGGCUAAAUACUCCUGAUUGACCGAUAGUGAACCAGUACCGUGAGGGAAAGGCGAAAAGAACCCCGGCGAGGGGAGUGAAAAAGAACCUGAAACCGUGUACGUACAAGCAGUAGGAGCCUCUUUAUGGGGUGACUGCGUACCUUUUGAUAUAAUAACAUCACCGAAAAUAGCGCUGAAUUUGCUAACAAGGUUGGUCGAUUUUUUCAAGCCGUCGCGCAGUGUACCUAGAAGUACACGAGCAACGGAAGUUAAAAAAUCCGGAAACAUUGUACGUACAAGCAGUAGGAGCCUCUUUAUGGGGUGACUGCGUACCUUUUGUAUAAUGGGUCAGCGACUUAUAUUCUGUAGCAAGGUUAACCGUAUAGGGGAGCCGUAGGGAAACCGAGUCUUAACUGGGCGAAUGAGUUGCAGGGUAUAGACCCGAAACCCGGUGAUCUAUCCAUGGGCAGGUUGAAGGUUGGGUAACACUAACUGGAGGACCGAACCGACUAAUGUUGAAAAAUUAGCGGAUGACUUGUGGAUGGGGGUGAAAGGCCAAUCAAACCGGGAGAUAGCUGGUUCUCCCCGAAAGCUAUUUAGGUAGCGCCUCGUGAACUCAUCUUCGGGGGUAGAGCACUGUUUCGACUAGGGGGUCAUCCCGACUUACCAACUCGAUGCAAACUGCGAAUACCGAAGAAUGUUAUCACGGGAGACACACGGCGGGUGCUAACGUCCGUCGUGAAGAGGGAAACAACCCAGACCGCCAGCUAAGGUCCCAAAGUCAUGGUUAAGUGGGAAACGAAGUGGGAAGGCUCAGACAGCCAGGAUGUUGGCUUAGAAGCAGCCAUCAUUUAAAGAAAGCGUAAUAGCUCACUGGUCGAGUCGGCCCGCGCGGAAGAUGUAACGGGGCUAAACCAUGCACCGAAGCUGCGGCAGCGA